CCUACGGGAGGCAGCAGUGGGGAAUAUUGCGCAAUGGGCGAAAGCCUGACGCAGCGACGCCGCGUGAGGGAUGAAGGUCUUCGGAUCGUAAACCUCUGUCAGCAGGGAAGAACGGUCACUGUGCUAAUCAGCAGUGAAUUGACGGUACCUGCAAAGGAAGCACCGGCUAACUCCGUGCCAGCAGCCGCGGUAAUACGGAGGGUGCGAGCGUUAAUCGGAAUUACUGGGCGUAAAGCGCUCGUAGGCGGUAUGUCAAGUCAAGGGUGAAAUCCCCGCGCUCAACGUGGGAACUGCCUUGGAAACUGGCGAGCUGGAGUGUGUGAGAGGAUGGUGGAAUUCGAGGUGUAGGGGUGAAAUCCGUAGAUAUCUGGAGGAACAUCAGUGGCGAAGGCGACUAUCUGGCACGUAACUGACGCUGAGGAGCGAAAGCGUGGGUAGCAAACAGGAUUAGAUACCCGAGUAGUC
rnacentral:rRNA from 1 species